rnacentral:rRNA from 1 species
GAUUCUGGCUCAGGAUGAACGCUAGCUACAGGCUUAACACAUGCAAGGUCGAGGGGCAGCGAGAGGAAGCUUGCUUCCUGUCGGCGACCGGCGCACGGGUGAGUAACGCGUAUCCAACCUUCCGCAUAGUAGGGAAUAGCCCGGCGAAAGUCGGAUUAAUGCCCUAUGUUUUCCGAUGAGGACAUCUGAGCUGGAACAAAGAUUUAUCGCUAUGCGAUGGGGAUGCGUCUGAUUAGCUUGUCGGCGGGGUAACGGCCCACCGAGGCGACGAUCAGUAGGGUUCUGAGAGGAAGGUCCCCCACAUUGGUACUGAGACACGGACCAAACUCCUACGGGAGGCAGCAGUGAGGAAUAUUGGUCAAUGGACGAGAGUCUGAACCAGCCAAGUAGCGUGCCAGGAUGACUGCCCUAUGGGUUGUAAACUGCUUUUAUGCGGGAAUAAAGUGAGGUACGUGUACCUUUUUGUAUGUACCGCAUGAAUAAGGACCGGCUAAUUCCGUGCCAGCAGCCGC